CCAAGUAUUUGUUAUUUGAAUGUUGGCUUUUAAGGGUCGGGUUUGGUUGACACAUCAAGUGUAGUAUAUAACUGGUCGGGUUUAUUCUUCACAUUCCUUUUUCCUGGACCUUUCAAAGGUAAAGACGCAUAACAAUUGCUUGCAAAAAAAUACAUGAAAUAUUGUUUUGUUACUUUAAAAAAUCGUAUAAUUUUCCAUUUAUGCAUUGUUCUAAACCAUUUUUACGCUUUUAUUACUAUCGAUGUGCAAUAAUUAUGACGGAUGAGAUUGGAUUCAAACAUUAUACAAAGCAGACGACGCGCACGCGGUUAUACUAAAAAAUCGUUUACUUGUACGUUUGUAUUGUUUUACAAUGAUGUAAUGUUGGGUAUUAACAUUGAUAACUUUAUUUUUGUUUCAUACUGCUUCGAAACCCGGCAAAUGCAAACUAGAAUAUGUCUUAUGCAUGUGAACAACAAUAAGGAAACUCGGUCGGAGCUUCUCGUGGACAUGGACCCAAAUACAAGACUACAAGUCAAAGAAAAGCAUAGAAAAUUAUCUUGAAAUCGUUUGGAAAACCAGACAUUGAAUAUAAGUAUCAUAACAGAUUCACAGUCCAGUAUAUCAGUGAAUUAGCUUUGAUCUGCACGUCCGAGAUGAAGACCUUAUACCCAUGCAUAGAAAAUAUCCUGGUGCUGUCUAAGGAGAAGAAGUGAAGAAUCUACCAAAUGAUGCCCACAUGAAGCCCAUUGCCAGCUUUAAGGAUUGUGCUAAACGUGAUUUAACUGUCUCUGUGCAAUAUGCGUACUGAAUAGUGUUGCAAAAUUGUAAAACUUGCUAUCGUUUAUAAAAUGCAAUUGGUAGCAUAUGGUCGAUUAUAGGAUUGAUAGUUUGACCAAAAAGAAACCGUCGUGGCACUUUUUCAAGGAGAAGAUAUUAGUGUUUAGCGUCUGCGCACACCAAGUCAACUGAUAACUGAAUGUUUGUGUGAAACUUGUAAUAAACUGUCACCUUGUUGAAAUGCUAAUGCUAGUGUCAACUAAGCUAAUAAGCUUACUCUUGGUGACAGUAAUAUAUACUUUAGAGCUGUACUACAUAGUACAGGUUUGAAAUAUGAAAAAUGUUGAUAUUUGAAGUUUGAGAUGUUUGAUCUAUGAAGUUUGAGAUAUUAAUGAUAUUUGAUAUGCAAGAUUUGAUAAAAUAAGUUGAUAUGCUUGAUAUUUGGAAUUUGAGAUAUGACAUAUUGAUUGAUUGAUUUGAUUGAUUGAUUGAUUGAUUGAUUUGAACAAUUUGUAUGUGUGCUGACUCUCCGCGGUUAACCCGGGACGGUUAGAAAAAAGAAACACACAUUGUUGAUGUUUGAAUUUGGUGGGUUCGCCCAAUUGAAAUGGCGUCCCACAAUUUUGUAUCAUGCCACGGCCAAUACUCGCCACAAUAAAUAAGUAUAAAUUCUACA